rnacentral:sRNA from 1 species
UCACUUCCAUAGCACAUAUGAUAAAAUUAGAAUGAUAACAGAAAAGAUUAUAGAUGAUCUCUGUGCAAGGAUUACCCACAAAUUCAUGAGGUGUUUAAGGAAGAA